rnacentral:tRNA from 1 species
GGGGGUGUGGCUCAGUUGGUAGAGCGAUGCGUUCGCAACGCAUAGGUCAGGGGUUCGAUCCCCCUCAUCUCCACCA